UACAGAGGGUGCGAGCGUUGUUCGGAAUUAUUGGGCGUAAAGCGCUUGUAGGCGGCACGUCAAGUCGCGUGUGAAAUCCCCAGGCUUAACCUGGGAAGUGCGCGCGAAACUGACGAGCUUGAGUGCCGGAGAGGGUCGCGGAAUUCCCGGUGUAGAGGUGAAAAUUCGUAGAUAUCGGGAGGAACACCAGUGGCGAAGGCGGCGACCUGGACGGACACUGACGCUGAGACG
rnacentral:rRNA from 1 species